GGGCGCGUAGCUCAGCGGGAGAGCACUACGUUGACAUCGUAGGGGUCACAGGUUCAAUCCCUGUCGCGCCCA
rfam:Methylosinus sp. R-45379 contig_32, whole genome shotgun sequence.